CAGUCAGCUGCUGACUUCUUUGUCAACGGCAGAUUGGCGACUGCCCUGGACCAGUUUGCUGAUGGGUUAAAAACCCUUGGAUUACUCAAAGAGAUGAGGGAGAAUCCGGCCGUGUUCUUCAACUUCUUUGUCAAUGAGGAAAUUCCCCUUCAGGCGAAGGACCUGUGCAAGUUAUUUGUUCCAGACUUCUCAGCGCAGGGCAGCAACCGGAGAAACCGAGAAAAUAUGACAAUCUGCUUCUGGCGUGACUGGUUGAUUGACAUAGAAGAAGGAGAAUGCAGUCCAGUCACCCUUGAGAG